CAAACUUUGUCCAGCCGGACCAGCAACGUUUGGAAAGAUAAUUCGACAAAGGUUUCCAAAACUGACAACCAGGAGACUAGGAACUCGAGGGCAAUCAAAGUAAGUUCAGUCCAUAUGGACCAUUCUGGUAGUUCUAACUGAAAAAACUAGUCCAACAGGAAUGGGCGAGUGAGGAUGCCUCAUUGUUAAUUCUUGUGUUUUAGAUUUGAGAAAAAAAAA